UCUCGAUAGCGUAAAAGUUAACUCGAAUUAUGGUAUGGAGUUGGAACGUUUACCUAGGUUUGCCGCUUGGGGCGGUGUUCCAAUUGUAUAUAAAUUUGAGUUAACUUUUACGCUAUCGA
rnacentral:pre_miRNA from 9 species